rfam:Ictidomys tridecemlineatus contig103463, whole genome shotgun sequence.
UGUGGUAUAGCUCAAUGAUAGAGUGCUUGCCUGGCAUGCGCAAGGCCCUGGGUUCAAUCCCCAGUACCACAA